rnacentral:rRNA from 1 species
UACAGAGGGGGCGAGCGUUGUUCGGAAUUACUGGGCGUAAAGGGCGCGUAGGCGGCCUUCUAAGUCGAACGUGAAAUCCCCGGGCUCAACCCGGGAACUGCGUCCGAUACUGGUUGGCUUGAGUUUGGGAGAGGGAUGCGGAAUUCCAGGUGUAGCGGUGAAAUGCGUAGAUAUCUGGAGGAACACCGGUGGCGAAGGCGGCAUCCUGGACCAAUACUGACGCUGAGGAGCGAAAGCCAGGGGAGCAAACGGG